UGGCUCAGUCAGUAGAGCGUCCGCCUCACAACCGGGAGGUCGUGGGUUCGAACCCCGGC
rfam:Strongylocentrotus purpuratus Contig137265_fixed, whole genome shotgun sequence.